rnacentral:lncRNA from 1 species
CCUAUGUUAGGGAGACAAAUCAGAUGCUGUCCACAGGGUAAGGCAGAAAGAGCACCAGUGCCACCACCUGGAUACAGGGAGAAUGAGGCAUCACUCGAAGUCAUUUUUUGGUUCUUACAGGACUGGAUCAGUUACCUCAAGAGCAAGUUGUGACGCAAGCCGCCUCUCGUGUCUUGACCCUUGUGUAUGUGCCUACUUGCCCUUCCACUUCCCACCAUGAGUCGACACAGCACAAGGUGAGCCGGUGUCACCAAAAGUGGCUGCUUAAUCUUGGACUUUGCAGUCUCCAGCACUAUAAGCCAG